rnacentral:rRNA from 1 species
CAUUUGGCAGUAAGCCUGAACCAGCCAAGUCGCGUGAGGGAUGAAGGUUCUAUGGAUCGUAAACCGUCUUUUAUAAGGGAAUAAAGUGCGGGACGUGUCCUGUUUUGUAUGUACCUUAUGAAUAAGGAUCGGCUAACUCCAUGCCAGCAGUCGCGGAUGUACGGAGGAUCCGAGCUGUUAUCCGGGAUUUAUUGGGUUCAGAGGGUGCGUAUGCUGCCUUUUAAGUCAGCGGUGAUAGUCUGUGGCUCAUCCAUGUAAUUGCCGUGGAAAGUGGGAGGCUUGAGUAUGUGUGAGGCAGGCGGAAUGCGUGGUGUAUCGGUUAAAUGCUUAGAUUUCACGCAGAACCCCGAUUGCGAAGGCGGCCUGCCAUGCCUUGACUGACGCUAAUGCACGAAAGCGUGGGGAUCAAACAGGAUGAGAUACCCUGGCUAGUCCACGCAGUAGACGAUGAUCACUAGCUGUUUGCGAUACACUGUAAGCGGUACAUAUAACGCGUUCAGUGAUCCACCUGGGGAGUACGCCGGCGACUGAAAAACUCAGAGGAAUAGACGGGGGCCCGCAUCAAGCGGAGGAACAUGUGGUUUAAUUCGAUGAUCCGCGAGGAGCCUUACCCGGGUUUGAACGCAUCCGGACCGAGGUGGAAACACCUUUUCUAGCAAUAGCCGUGUGCGAGGUGCUGCUUGGUUGUCGUCAGCUCGUGCCGUGAGGUGUCGGCUUAAGUGCCAUAGCGAGCGCAGGGCUUGCCACUAGUUACUAACCGGUAAAGCUGAGGACUCUGGUGGGACUGCCAGCGUAAGCUGCGAUGAAGGCAGGGAUGACGUCGAUUCAGCGCGGCCCUUACAUCCGGGGCGACACACGUGUUACAAUGGCGUGGACNUAUGGAAGCCACCUUGGCGACGUGUAGCGAAUGCCCUGACCCCGUCUCAUUCCGAUCGGAGUCUGCAACCCGA